rnacentral:rRNA from 1 species
GAUGAACGCUGGCGGCGUGCCUAAUACAUGCAAGUCGAGCGAAUGGAUUAAGAGCUUGCUCUUAUGAAGUUAGCGGCGGACGGGUGAGUAACACGUGGGUAACCUGCCCAUAAGACUGGGAUAACUCCGGGAAACCGGGGCUAAUACCGGAUAACAUUUUGAACCGCAUGGUUCGAAAUUGAAAGGCGGCUUCGGCUGUCACUUAUGGCUGGACACGCGUCGCAUUAGCUAGUUGGUGAGGUAACGGCUCACCAAGGCAACGAUGCGUAGCCGACCUGGGAGGGUGAUCGGCCACAAUGGGACUGAGACACGGCCCAGACUCCUACGGGAGGCAGCAGUAGGGAAUCUUCCGCAAUGGACGAAAGUCUGACGGAGCAACGCCGCGUGAGUGAUGAAGGCUUUCGGGUCGUAAAACUCUGUUGUUAGGGAAGAACAAGUGCUAGUUGAAUAAGCUGGCACCUUGACGGUACCUAACCAGAAAGCCACGGCUAACUACGUGCCAGCCGCCGCUGUAA